rnacentral:rRNA from 1 species
UUCCGGUUGAUCCUGCCGGAGGUCAUUGCUAUUGGAGUCCGAUUUAGCCAUGCUAGUUGUACGAGUUUAGACUCGUAGCAGAUAGCCCAGUAACACGUGGCCAAACUACCCUAUGGAUCCGAACAACCUCGGGAAACUGAGGCUAAUUCGGAAUAGGAUUCCCAGGCUGGAACUGCCGGGAAUUCGAAACGCUCCGGCGCCAUAGGAUGUGGCUGCGGCCGAUUAGGUAGACGGUGGGGUAACGGCCCACCGUGCCAAUAAUCGGUACGGGUUGUGAGAGCAAGAGCCCGGAGACGGUAUCUGAGACAAGAUACCGGGCCCUACGGGGCGCAGCAGGCGCGAAACCUUUACACUGCACGCCAGUGCGAUAAGGGGACUCCAAGUGCGAGGGCAUAUAGUCCUCGCUUUUCGCGACCGUAAGGUGGUCGCAGAAUAAGUGCUGGGCAAGACCGGUGCCAGCCGCCGCGGUAAUACCGGCAGCACGAGUGAUGACCGCUAUUAUUGGGCCUAAAGCGUCCGUAGCUGGCCAGCCAAGUCCAUCGGGAAAUCCGCGCGCUUAACGCGCGGGCGUCCGGUGGAAACUGGAUGGCUUGGGACCGGAAGACCAGAGGGGUACGUCUGGGGUAGGAGUGAAAUCCCGUAAUCCUGGACGGACCACCGGUGGCGAAAGCGCCUCUGGAAGACGGAUCCGACGGUGAGGGACGAAAGCUUGGGUCACGAACCGGAUUAGAUACCCGGGUAGUCCGAGCUGUAAACGAUGUCUGCUAGGUGUGACACAGGCUACGAGCCUGUGUUGUGCCGUAGGGAAGCCGUGAAGCAGACCGCCUGGGAAGUACGUCCGCAAGGAUGAAACUUAAAGGAAUUGGCGGGGGAGCACUACAACCGGAGGAGCCUGCGGUUUAAUUGGACUCAACGCCGGU